rnacentral:rRNA from 1 species
CGCGGCCUAUCAGCUUGUUGGUGAGGUAACGGCUCACCAAGGCAUCGACGGGUAGCUGGUCUGAGAGGAUGAUCAGCCACACUGGGACUGAGACACGGCCCAGACUCCUACGGGAGGCAGCAGUAGGGAAUCUUGCGCAAUGGGCGAAAGCCUGACGCAGCAACGCCGCGUGGGGGAUGAAUGCCUUCGGGUUGUAAACCCCUUUCAGCAGGGACGAAAUUGACGGUACCUGCAGAAGAAGGUCCGGCCAACUACGUGCCAGCAGCCGCGGUAAUACGUAGGGACCAAGCGUUGUCCGGAAUUACUGGGCGUAAAGAGCUCGUAGGCGGUUCAGUAAGUCGGGUGUGAAAACUCAAGGCUCAACCUUGAGACGCCACUCGAUACUGCUGUGACUUGAGUCCGGUAGAGGAGUGUGGAAUUCCUGGUGUAGCGGUGAAAUGCGCAGAUAUCAGGAGGAACACCAGCGGCGAAGGCGGCACUCUGGGCCGGUACUGACGCUGAGGAGCGAAAGCAUGGGGAGCAAACAGGAUUAGAUACCCUGGUAGUCCAUGCCGUAAACGUUGGGCACUAGGUAUGGGACCAUAUCAACGGGUUCCGUGCCGUAGCUAACGCAUUAAGUGCCCCGCCUGGGGAGUACGG